rnacentral:tmRNA from 1 species
GGGGCCGACUGGAAUUGACAGGAAGUGUGAAUGAUGUACUUGCAUGUCGGGUGGUGAGUGUACACCCGCGAACAAUGCGCUCGACCGAUAAUUGGCGAAGAAACUUACGCCAUGGCUGCCUAAUCUCUACCUCAGUAGGUGAGAACUAGGGCUUAAACGAUUUCCUGAUAAGAUCAGGAACGGGCCACAUCCUGCCAAGCCUCCGUCUUUCGGGCUGGGUAACAGGGUGUCAUUUGAGAGACUAGUCAGGGUGAGGUUACUAAACCCGGGCGAAACCACAGUGACUGGUCAAUAGCUAGGUUGUUUUUCUACCAGGCUGCUGAUAAGAACCCAAAGAAAAACUAAGCAUGUAGAGGGUGCAUGAUUUCCUUAUCUGGACGCGGGUUCGAAUCCCGCCGGCUCCACAG